rnacentral:rRNA from 1 species
UACAGAGGGUGCGAGCGUUAAUCGGAAUUACUGGGCGUAAAGCGCACGUAGGUGGUUUGUUAAGUUGAAUGUGAAAUCCCCGGGCUCAACCUGGGAACUGCAUCCAAAACUGGCAAGCUAGAGUAGGGCAGAGGGUGGUGGAAUUUCCUGUGUAGCGGUGAAAUGCGUAGAUAUAGGAAGGAACACCAGUGGCGAAGGCGACCACCUGGGCUCAUACUGACACUGAGGUGCGAAAGCGUGGGGAGCAAACAGG